UGGCGGACGGGUGAGUAACGCGUGGAUAACCUGGCCCAUACAGGGGGAUAGCAGCUGGAAACGGCUGGUAAUACCGCAUAAGCGCACAGGGGCGCAUGCCCUGGUGUGAAAAACUCCGGUGGUAUGGGGUGGGUCCGCGUCUGAUUAGGCAGUUGGCGGGGUAAAGGCCCACCAAACCGACGAUCAGUAGCCGGCCUGAGAGGGUGGGCGGCCACAUUGGGACUGAGACACGGCCCAAACUCCUACGGAAGGCAGCAG
rnacentral:rRNA from 1 species